UUAAGUUAAUAAGGGCGCACGGUGGAUGCCUUGGCACUAGAAGCCGAUGAAGGACGUGACUAACGACGAAAUGCUUUGGGGAGCUGUAAGUGAGCAAUGAUCCAGAGAUGUCCGAAUGGGGGAACCCGGCAGGUAAUGCCUGUCACUCAUUACUGUUAAGGUAAUGUAGAGGAAGACGCAGUGAACUGAAACAUCUAAGUAGCUGUAGGAAGAGAAAGCAAAAGCGAUUGCCUUAGUAGCGGCGAGCGAAACGGCAAGAGGGCAAACCGAAGAGUUUACUCUUCGGGGUUGUAGGACUGCAACGUGGACUUAAAGAUUAUAGAAGAACUACCUGGGAAGGUAGGCCAAAGAGAGUAAUAGCCUCGUAUUCGAAAUAGUCUUUAUACCUAGCAGUAUCCUGAGUACGGCGAGACACGAGAAAUCUCGUCGGAAUCUGGGAGGACCAUCUCCCAACCCUAAAUACUCUCUAGUGACCGAUAGUGAACCAGUACCGUGAGGGAAAGGUGAAAAGCACCCCGGGAGGGGAGUGAAAUAGAACCUGAAACCGUGUGCCUACAACAAGUUCGAGCCCGUUAAUGGGUGAGAGCGUGCCUUUUGUAGAAUGAACCGGCGAGUUACGAUAUGAUGCGAGGUUAAGUUGAAGAGACGGAGCCGUAGGGAAACCGAGUCUUAAUAGGGCGCAUUAGUAUCAUGUCGUAGACCCGAAACCAUGUGACCUACCCAUGAGCAGGUUGAAGGUGAGGUAAAACUCACUGGAGGACCGAACCAGGGCACGUUGAAAAGUGCUUGGAUGACUUGUGGGUAGCGGAGAAAUUCCAAACGAACUUGGAGAUAGCUGGUUCUCUCCGAAAUAGCUUUAGGGCUAGCGUCGAUGUUAAGUCUCUUGGAGGUAGAGCACUGUUUGGGUGAGGGGUCCAUCCCGGAUUACCAAUCUCAGAUAAACUCCGAAUGCCAAUGAGAUAUAAUCGGCAGUCAGACUGCGAGUGCUAAGAUCCGUAGUCGAAAGGGAAACAGCCCAGACCACCAGCUAAGGUCCCAAAAUAUAUGUUAAGUGGAAAAGGAUGUGGGGUUGCACAGACAACUAGGAUGUUAGCUUAGAAGCAGCUAUUCAUUCAAAGAGUGCGUAAUAGCUCACUAGUCGAGUGACCCUGCGCCGAAAAUGUACCGGGGCUAAAACAUAUUACCGAAGCUGUGGAUACCUUUAUAGGUAUGGUAGGAGAGCGUUCUAUGUGCGAAGAAGGUGUACCGUGAGGAGUGCUGGAGCGCAUAGAAGUGAGAAUGCCGGUAUGAGUAGCGAAAGACAGGUGAGAAUCCUGUCCACCGUAAGACUAAGGUUUCCAGGGGAAGGCUCGUCCGCCCUGGGUUAGUCGGGACCUAAGGAGAGACCGAAAGGUGUAUCCGAUGGACAACAGGUUGAUAUUCCUGUACUAGAGUAUAUAGUGAUGGAGGGACGCAGUAGGCUAACUAAACCAGACGAUUGGAAGUGUCUGGCCAAGCAGUGAGGUGUGAUAUGAGUCAAAUGCUUAUAUCUUUAACAUUGAGCUGUGAUGGGGAGCGAAGUUUAGUAGCGAAGUUAGUGAUGUCACACUGCCGAGAAAAGCUUCUAGCGUUAAUUAUACUCUACCCGUACCGCAAACCGACACAGGUAGUCGAGGCGAGUAGCCUCAGGUGAGCGAGAGAACUCUCGUUAAGGAACUCGGCAAAAUGGCCCCGUAACUUCGGGAGAAGGGGCGCUGACUGAUGGUCAGCCGCAGUGAAUAGGCCCAAGCAACUGUUUAUCAAAAACACAGCUCUCUGCUAAAUCGUAAGAUGAUGUAUAGGGGGUGACGCCUGCCCGGUGCUGGAAGGUUAAGAGGAGUGCUUAGCGUAAGCGAAGGCAUGAAUUGAAGCCCCAGUAAACGGCGGCCGUAACUAUAACGGUCCUAAGGUAGCGAAAUUCCUUGUCGGGUAAGUUCCGACCCGCACGAAAGGCGUAAUGAUUUGGGCACUGUCUCAACGAGAGACUCGGUGAAAUUUUAGUACCUGUGAAGAUGCAGGUUACCCGCGACAGGACGGAAAGACCCCAUGGAGCUUUACUGCAGUUUGAUAUUGAGUAUCUGUACCACAUGUACAGGAUAGGUAGGAGCCUAUGACCUCGGGACGCCAGUUUCGAGUGAGGCGUUGUUGGGAUACUACCCUUGUGUUAUGGCUAA
rnacentral:rRNA from 1 species